rnacentral:rRNA from 1 species
UACAGAGGUCCCGAGCGUUAAUCGGAAUUACUGGGCGUAAAGCGUGCGCAGGCGGUUUUGUAAGUCAGAUGUGAAAUCCCCGGGCUUAACCUGGGAACUGCGUUUGAAACUACAAGGCUAGAGUGUGGCAGAGGGGGGUGGAAUUCCACGUGUAGCAGUGAAAUGCGUAGAGAUGUGGAGGAACACCGAUGGCGAAGGCAGCCCCCUGGGUUAACACUGACGCUCAGGCACGAAAGCGUGGGGAGCAAACAGG